rnacentral:rRNA from 1 species
CAGGGAUUGCCUUAGUAACGGCGAGUGAAGCGGCAACAGCUCAAAUUUGAAAUCUGGCCCUUAGGGUCCGAGUUGUAAUUUGUAGAGGAUGUUUUUGGCACGGUGCCUUCCGAGUUCCCUGGAACGGGACGCCACAGAGGGUGAGAGCCCCGUAUGGUUGGACACUAAGCCUCUGUAAAGCUCCUUCAACGAGUCGAGUAGUUUGGGAAUGCUGCUCUAAAUGGGAGGUAAAUCUCUUCUAAAGCUAAAUACUGGCCAGAGACCGAUAGCGCACAAGUAGAGUGAUCGAAAGAUGAAAAGCACCUUGAAAAGGGGGUUAAACAGUACGUGAAAUUGUUGAAAGGGAAGCACUUGUCCCCAGACGUGCGCCGGGCGGUUCAUCAGAGGUUUUGCCCCUGUGUAUGCCGUCCGGUUCAGGCUAGCAUCGGUUUUCCCUGGGGGAGAAGAACAGUUGGAACGUGGCUCGCCUUCGGGGGAGUGUUAUACCCUUCUGUACGAUGCCCUGGCGGGGACUGAGG